UUCUUUUGUUUUCCCUGCAGUAGGCUAUAAUCACAUCAAACAGGAAGCUGGAAACAAGAGAUCCUAGAUUAAGAGUAGCUAUAUCAUUGACAAUGAUACCAAUACAUGGUGAGCUUACUACAAUAUCUGAUCUGCGUCUAUCAACAACAAAUGCUGUUUAACAUGUAAGAGUAUCAAGAAUGUGGGAAUUCAGAGAAGGAGGAAAUGAAAGAGGAAAUAUGAAGCAUCUUGACUUGGUUUUCAUUGACCUGAAGGGUGAUGCAAUCUAUGCUGAAAUACCACCAGAUGUAAUACCAAUUUUAAAGCCUCAACUGAGCGAAAAACUAAUCAUUUUCAUUGGCAAGUUUGUAGUUGAAAAAGCUAAACCUGGAUAUAAGGUGGUGCAGAACCCAUAUAUGCUAAGGCUCAACAGAAGGACUAUCAUUGUCAAAUCAAAUGCUAAUGAUCUGGAAUUUCCAAAGUACACAUUCUCAUUGACUCCAAUUGAAA